UGUUCGAGCGUCAUUUCAACCCUCAAGCACUGCUUGGUGAUGGGACACUACGCCGCGUAGGCCCUGAAAUGUAGUGGCGGGCCCGCCGUGGUCCCGAGCGCAGUAAUACAUCUCGCUUAGGGCUCCAUGGCGGACCUCUGCCGUUAAACCCCCACUCAAAGGUUGACCUCGGAUCAGGUAGGAAUACCCGCUGAACUUAA
rnacentral:misc_RNA from 1 species